rnacentral:lncRNA from 1 species
GCUCAGCAGUCUCAUUGAAGCGAGCGGCGGCGGCCGCGCCGUGGUAAACAAGUGCCGGGCUGUCAAUCAAGAACUAGACCGGAGCAGGAGAGGACCGGCCUAAACCGGCGCGAGCAGAUCCCAGCCGGCCUGCCCGCGCGCCGCCGCCGCCGCCGCUGCCGCCCGCGCGCCCCGCUAUACAUACGGCAUACGUCGCGCGGCGCUCGCGCCCGUGCCCGCGCAACCUAGCCUGCUGGCCGGGGGGCGGGGCGAGCGAGCCGCGGCGCUUCCGCUUUACACGCCCCAGCCGGCGACCGGUUCCAUCUGGCUCGGGCCACUCUGACACCUUUAGUUUCGGCAAGGGAUAUUGGGGUGGCGAAGGGGAGGCGGGGGCCCGAAGGCUUCGGAAAACGAUGGGGGAGGGGGCAGAGGAUACCCGUCGAAGCCCCCCCCUCCCCCAACAUUUCGAUAUUGGAAUCACUUUCCUUCUUCCUCGGGCCAGCCUUUGCUCUGUCCCCUCAGGUCAACUCAAGGUAGACAGUGUGGCGACUGGAGAGGUCGGGGAACAAGCUUUGUUUCAGCUAAGGGGAAAACAAGCGUUCACAGGAGUCCCCUGACACCUCCCACUCGGAAGAUAGCUAACGGGGGUCCUGCCAACCCUUCCCAUCCAACUUCCAUCUGAAAAGGAUUUUCUGCUAAAGUUGGGUCCAUGGCCAUCCAGCACCUGUAAGGCCGGCAGGAGCGUCUGCCCUCUACUCAGUUAAAGCCUGAAGUCGUUUCCUUUCGAUGGCCCUUAGGAGGCCCAAAAGAGGGGCGACAGAACAUGAUGUUGACACGGGCUGGGCGCCCCCAGAAGCCCGGGAACAAACGUUUCUACUUUCCAGGUCCACUGGUGUUUGGUGUACCCAUGUGACUAAUUUGUCCAAAGAGAGAUUUCUGUGAAUAGACCAGAAGCCGACCUUUACAGUGUGUUUGGGUGCAGAUUCUAGAGGAUGUCUGUGUGCCUUUCUCCCCUUUCAAACGAUAGGGAAGAUAUACUGAGUCCUGUCUUCAGCUAGGGGAUGCCCUGGCCUCCUUCCUAUCUUCAAAGCCUGCAAGAGUGGGCUGAGUCCUUCUCACUCCACCCUCUUCUUUUGUGUACCUUUUCCACUUGUAAGGACCCUUGUAAUUGCAUUGGAUUCACCUGGAUAACCCAGACUGAUCUCCCUAUUUUAAGCCCACGUUGGAGCUCUCUGCUAACAGAGACCAAUGCUGUCACAGAGAACAAAGAAGAGCAGGAAUGAUGGAAUGGUUCUGGUGUCUUCUGCCUUAGGGGCUGCCUCUCAUGACAAGCUGCAACACUCAGACUCACCUGUUUUUACUCCCCAUUCCCUCAGGAGUGGUUGCUGUUGUUACAAUCUGGAGGCUCUUGCAGAGCUCUCUGUUCUAUGCCAUUGAUAUGGUUUGGCUGUGUCCCCACCCAAAAUCUCAUAUUGAAUUGUAAUCCUCAUAAUCCCCAUAAUCCCCACGUGUCUAGGGAGAGACCAGGUGGAGGUAAUUGAAUCAUGGGGGCAGGUUUCUCCCAUACCAUUCUUGUGAUAGUGAAUUCUCAUGAGAGCUGAUGGUUUUAUACGUGUUUGGUAGUUCCUCCUGCAUUCAUUCUUCUCCCUGCUGCCUUGUGAGGAAGGUGCCUUUCUUCCCCUUCAUGUUCUGCCAUGAUUGUAAGUUUCCUGAGGCUUCCCCAGCCAUGCUGAACUGUAGUCAAUUUAACCUCUUUCCUUUAUAAAUUACCCAGUUUUGGGUAGUUCUUUAUAGCAGUGUGAAAACGAACUAAUACAGCCCUAUACUCUGAUAUCAUUUCAAUAAUUUUAUUCUCUGCCCUAAGUAACCAAUUGGUUUCUCCUGCCUAUAAUUAAGUACUUUAAUAAUAUAUUAAGUGUUACAAGAUAUGCUUAAAAAUAAAUAAAUAUAACAUUGAAUAUAUUUGUUAUCUAUGCUACUGCAACAAUGUUUUUGUUUUGUCCUUAAUUUCUCUGCAUCUUACUGA